rnacentral:tRNA from 1 species
GGGGUUGUAGCUCAGUGGUAGAGUGCUUUCCUAGCACGUGUGAGACACUGGGUUCGAUCCUCAGCACCACA